rnacentral:rRNA from 1 species
GAGUUUGAUCUUGGCUCAGGACGAACGCUGGCGGCGUGCUUAACACAUGCAAGUCGAGCGGUAAGGCCUUUCGGGGUACACGAGCGGCGAACGGGUGAGUAACACGUGGGUGAUCUGCCCUGCACUUCGGGAUAAGCCUGGGGAAACUGGGUCUAAUACCGGAUAUGACCUCCUAUCGCAUGGUGGGUGGUGGAAAGAUUUAUCGGUGCAGGAUGGGCCCGCGGCCUAUCAGCUUGUUGGUGGGGUAAUGGCCUACAAGGCGACGACGGGUAACCGACCUGAGAGGGUGACCGGCCACACUGGGACUGAGACACGGCCCAGACUCCUACGGGAGGCAGCAGUGGGGAAUAUUGCACAAUGGGCGAAAGCCUGAUGCAGCGACGCCGCGUGAGGGAUGACGGCCUGGUUGUAA